GACGAACGCUGGCGGCGUGCUUAACACAUGCGAGUCGAACGGAGAAUUUAUUUCGGUAAAUUCUUAGUGGCGAACGGGUGAGUAACGCGUGGGCAACCUGCCCUUCAGAUGGGGACAACAUCCCGAAAGGGGUGCUAAUACCGAAUACGAUCACGCUGCCGCAUGGCGGUGUGAUGAAAGAUGGCCUCUAUUUAUAAGCUAUCGCUGAAGGAUGGGCCUGCGUCUGAUUAGCUAGUUGGUGGGGUAACGGCCUACCAAGGCGAUGAUCAGUAGACGGUCUGAGAGGAUGAACGGCCACAUUGGGACUGAGACACGGCCCAAACUCCUACGGGAGGCAGCAGUGGGGAAUAUUCCGCAAUGGACGAAAGUCUGACGGAGCAACGCCGCGUGAGUGAUGAAGGUUUUCGGACUGUAAAACUCUGUUGUUUAGGACGAAAGUGCCUGUUGCAAAUAGUUGCAGGUAUUGACGGUACUGAACGAGGAAGCCACGGCUAACUACGUGCCAGCCGCCGCAGUAA
rnacentral:rRNA from 1 species